rnacentral:sRNA from 1 species
AUGGCUGUCGUCAGCUCGUGUCGUGAGAUGUUGGGUUAAGUCCCGCAACGAGCGCAACCCUUGUCAUUAGUUGCUACGUAAGGGCACUCUAAUGAGACUGCCGGUGACAAACCGGAGGAAGGUGGGGAUGACGUCAAGUCCUCAUGGCCCUUAUGGGUAGGGCUUCACACGUCAUACAAUGGUUGGUACAGAGGGUAGCGAACCCGCGAGGGGAAGCCAAUCCCAAAAAACCAAUCGUAGUCCGGAUUGUAGUCUGCAACUCGACUGCAUGAAGUCGGAAUCGCUAGUAAUCGCGGAUCAGAAUGUCGCGGUGAAUACGUUCCCGGGUCUUGUACACACCGCCCGUCACACCAUGGGAGCGGGUUUUACCAGAAGUGGCUAGCUUAACCGUAAGGAAAGCGGUUACCACGGUAGGAUUCGUGACUGGGGUGAAGUCGUAACAAGGUAGCCGUAUCGGAAGGUGCGGCUGGAUCACCUCCUUUCUAGAGAAAAUGUAACAUGCUUGAAUGUCCACUCUUAUCGGUUGCAGACGAACAAUAUGUUCGGGUCUGUAGCUCAGCUGGUUAGAGCACCGUCUUGAUAAGGCGGGGGUCGUUGGUUCGAGCCCAACCAGACCCACCAGGCUAACCUGAUGGUUUUUAGGGGCUAUAGCUCAGCUGGGAGAGCACCUGCUUUGCAAGCAGGGGGUCAGCGGUUCGAUCCCGCUUAGCUCCACCAGAAUAUUGUAAAUAUUGGUUGUUUUUGUUCUUUAAAAAUUUGGUCUAGAGACGUGUUUUCAUUGAUGAGAUGAAGAACACGUUCAGUUAUGAUUGUAUAAAUCAUGACACUCUCAAAAAAAUAAGCGUUAAAGUUUUCGGCAUGAACCUAUACGCCGCAUCAAUAGCGUUAUAGGGUCAAGUGAAUAAGUGCAUAUCGUGGAUGCCUUGGCGAUUACAGGCGAUGAAGGACGUUGUAGCUUGCGAUAAGCUGCGGUUAGCUGGCAAACAAGCUUUGAUCCGCAGAUUUCCGAAUGGGGAAACCCGG